rnacentral:lncRNA from 1 species
CGGCUCAGGCUCGAUCCCCGACCCGUCGCACGGGGGCACGACGCCUAGUCCUUCUUCCCCGUCCCACGGCCACGGCGGGCACGGCCACGGCAGCUCGUCCUCCCCGUCCACCGGAGGCGGCGGCGGCUACGGGAGCUCCCCUUCCGCGCCUUCCACCGGCGGCGGCGCCUACGGCGGGAGCCCGCCUUCGUCCCACGACGGAGGCGCCUACGGCGGGAGCUCCCCGACCACGCCGUCCACCGGCGGAGGCGCAUACGGCGGGUCUCCCCCAGCGUCCGGAUCCACGACUACACCGUCGACGCCCAGCAGCCAUGGGACCGUGGUCGAC